ensembl:ncRNA T14F9.13 ncRNA
CAUCACCUGCCACCGCGGCUCUGUUAGCCGGUUAAGGCGGAUUACGCAACUCGAUGUCUUUGUAGACAGCCCGCGCGCAACAUGAUAAUUAUGUUCUGGACCGUAUUCCGAGAUUCAUUUCUUACUAAUGGCCUUUUGACGUAU